GUGAAGUCAUGAUACAGAUGGAGAAAUAGUCCCCCUGAGGUCUUGCGCACAGAUUUUAAGAUGAUUCUCACUUACAAGAACACUGAGUGGUUACCAACUGCCCAACAGAUACGUCAACUGCAAGAUGUUCUAUCAAGCAAUUCACUACUUCCUCCCUUCUCAAUCUUCAGGCUCUGCAUAUGGAAAUGAACAUUUCAUUAUGACCCUAUGACCUACAAAGCUCCCUCUCUGUCACUCCUUAUCAUCUUUCCUAGGGAGGCAAUCAAAAUGAAAUGAUUUUAAGAUUCUAGCACUCCCAACUCUAAGAUGAAAAUGAUGCAGCAAUCAUGAACUCCUGUGUUAUCUGUCACUAUCUCAUAAGUCACAUGAUUUGAAGAGAAGAUCAUUCGGAGCAGUGGAAAAAUGAAAUCAAACAUAGCUGCUACCUCAGAUUGAAGAGAUGUCCUCUCCGAUUCUUUAAAGUAUUUCCUAUUCUCCUACCCACCUCCUCUGUUGUUUGCAAGACUCAAAAAGAUAAAUUUAUAGUGAAAUAAGAAUCCUCCAACUUACAUAUUAGAGCUUCUGCAAUUAAAGAAAAACAGAAAUCAGGCUGGGCGCAGUGGCUCACGCCUGUAAUCCCAGCACUCUGGGAGGCCAAGGUGGGUGGAUCACCUGAGGUCAGGAGCUUGAGACCAGCCUGGCCAACAUGGCAAAACCCCAUCUUUACUAAAAAUACAAAAAUCAGCUGGGUGUGGUGGUGGGUGGCUGUAAUCCCAGCUAUUCAGGAGGCUGAGUCAGGAGAAUCCCUUGAACCCAGGAGGCAGAUGUUGCAGUGAGCCGAGAUGGCACCACUGCACUCCAGCCUGAGUGACAGAGUGAUACUCUGUCUCAAAAAGAAAAAAAGAAAAAGAGAAAUCUAUGGGUGAAGACAAAUGGAAUGGCAAUACCUUGGAGUAGCAUUUACUAAUUCAAGCCAUAUAAACCAUACUAAGGUUGUCAGCCCAGAGGGGAGUCCAUCUGCUAUGUAGAUGAGAGAAUGCGACCAGGAAAGUCAGGACACAAAGCCAUGAUUCUUUCAACUUUUUGGCACUUUAAUAAGUGAAUUGCAUGUCCUGUCUUCUCCAUGAACUCAGCAAAGCUACAACUAAGCUCCUCAUCUUGAGAGUUCACCAUGUGCCCACUUUGACCUAUGGAUGGGCCCCUUGGCACUCUACCUUUUCAGUGUCCUCAACUGCACAAACUUCCUGGGCUGCACUGACUGCUGUACCCAGGCAAUUUUUUGGGAGCUCCAAUGUCUUGUCUAGCACAUGACAUGAGGCUGUAGCAUGUUCUUUCAAGUAUUAGUGCUAAAGAGGUCCCAUUCUACUUUCUCUGACUGAUCAGGUCACUGUUUUCAGCUACCUGGCCCUUCUAAGUCAGGGUCACUAGAGUAUUGGGAGGUUUGUAACUUCUUCAUUGGUGUCUUGUGUUUUCCUGUCUUUGAACUUGAGGAAAGCUGGCCCUGGAUGUUCACAACAUCAACCAAGCAAUGAAAACCACAGCACCCUACAGGAAAUUCUGCAUUUCUCUCAAAACAUGCAAAACACAAAAUUGGGUGGAACCACAGAAGGUUAUGGAUAACUCACUACAGUUUGGACUUUCAAAGGCCCUGGGAAAACUAUCCUACUUUUGUGAGAUACUAUUGUUCUACCUGUAAUGCAAGUGAACAGAUCUUAAUAAGGACAAAUAACAAUUUUUUAAAUGUUUACCAUAUUUUCUCAUUUGUUCCUUUCAUCAAGCAUCCAACCUGCCAGACCCUGCACUUGAUGGAUCAGCUGGCACCACCCAAAUCAAUAAACCGGCUCAUCUGAUCUUGUGGCACCCACCCAAGAACUGACUCAGCACAAGGAGACAGCUUCGACUCCCUGUGAUUUCAUCCCUGUCAACCAGCACUCCUGGCUCACUGGCUUCCCCCCACCCAACCAAGUUAUCCUUAAAAACUCUGCUCCCUGAAUGCUCAGGGAGUUUGAUUUGAAUAAUAAUAAAACUCCAGUCUCCUGCAAAAAAAAAAAAAAAA
rnacentral:lncRNA from 1 species